rnacentral:rRNA from 1 species
GACGAACGCUGGCGGCGCGCCUAACACAUGCAAGUCGAGCGAGAACCAGGGCUUCGGCCCUGGGGACAGCGGCGAACGGGUGAGUAACACGUGGAUAACCUGCCCUCGGCACCGGAAUAGCCCGAGGAAACUCGGAUUAAUGCCGGAUAGCCCCACAUCCCUGCGGGGAACGUGGGAAAAGGUAGCUUCGGCCUCUGGCCGGGGAUGGGUCCGCGGUGGAUUAGCUUGUUGGCGGGGUAACGGCCCACCAAGGCGACGAUCCAUAGCUGGUCUGAGAGGAUGAUCAGCCACACUGGGACUGAGACACGGCCCAGACUCCUACGGGAGGCAGCAGUGGGGAAUCUUGCGCAAUGGGCGAAAGCCUGACGCAGCGACGCCGCGUGCGGGAAGAAGGCCUUCGGGUUGUAAACCGCUUUCAGGAGGGACGAAGCCACUCGGGUUAAUAGCCCAGAGGGUGACGGUACCUCCAGAAGAAGCCCCGGCUAACUACGUGCCAGCAGCCGCGUAAAC